rnacentral:misc_RNA from 1 species
UCACAGCUUGCGCCGGCAGUCUCGACAGAGUCCUCGGCUCUAACCGUUAGCAACUGUCGAUAGGGGUUGCGCUCGUUAUGGCACUUAAGCCGACACCUCACGGCACGAGCUGACGACAACCAUGCAGCACCUCGCAGUGUGUCAUUGCUGACUGAAGGAUUUCUCCAAACAUUCACACUGCGUUUGAGCCCGGGUAAGGUUCCUCGCGUAUCAUCGAAUUAAACCACAUGUUCCUCCGCUUGUGCGGGCCCCCGUCAAUUCCUUUGAGUUUCACCGUUGCCGGCGUACUCCCCAGGUGGAAUGCUUAACGCUUUCGCUGUGCCACCCAGACCUCAUUCGACCCGGACAGCUAGCAUUCAUCGUUUACUGCGUGGACUAC